GUACCAGCACCAGCAGUACAGCAGCAGCAGAAGCAUCAGCAGCACCACCAUCAUCAGGAGCAACGACGCUGGACUUUGGGACGCCUGGCGUCUCUCUCUCUCUUUCCAUCUCUUUCUAUCUCCCUCCCUCUCUCUCUUUCUCCCCGUAUCUAUCUAUUUAUUCAUCUCUCUCUAUCUCUUUCUCUCUCUCUCUCUCUCUUUUUCACUAGCUCGUUUGCUCGCUCAUAUUGUUAGACUAGCAGACGACCGUUCCAACGCUCUCUUCUCAGUGAUCUAUGUGAUGCCGCCGUGGUCGUUCGGUGAUCCGUGCGCACAUUAACUUCUUUCCGUAAAACGUGCGCGAGAAUCACGUGCGUCAACUGAAAAGACAAACGGGGAAAAAAGAAAAAGGAAAUUCCGGAGAAACGGAAAGAGAAAAGGUGUGACACUUUGCUCCAAUCGACGAAGAGGAAGAGACGACCACGAAGACAAUAAAAGAGAUCCCCCUCGGCUCGACGUUUACAGAUAAGUGCGAUAAAUGUUCUAACGAAGCCCGACGUCGCAGGAUUUUCGGCUUGUAUGUCCGAAAAAGUCCGAUAUGAAUACAGAAGGAAGAACGUUCUCAGGGAGAUGACACCACGACGUCACGUAUUCGCGGGAAUUCGUCGAGCACUUUUGGCUGCCGCGAUCGUGGGUUUGAUCAUCUUGGCCCUCUCCAAUCAAGAUGAUCAUAACAACGUGCAACAGGGAACACUUUUGGACGACGAUGUCAACCUAACGCCAGAAGAAAGAAUGAUCGAACUGGCUACAGCUGCGGAAACAGAAGCUCGUUUGAUAGAACGAAGAAAAUUUUUGGCUGAGAAGUGUGCCGAGGAAGGACUCGAUCGUCCUGGAAACGAUUCCCUUCACAAACCCAACGCCUGGGAAUUCCUUGUAAAUAGAGAAUAUCAUCUGAUAUGGUGCAACGUAUUCAAAGCUGCAUCCACCUCAUGGAUGUAUAAUUUCAAUCUACUUGCAGGAUACAGUCCGCAAUUUUUAAAAGCCUCUAAAGCUGUACCAGUGUCUCUGGCACGGCAAAAAUAUCCUAGACACACGGCCGAAGAAUUAGCGAAAUUUUUAAAUGACAGUAUCAGCUUCCUAAUCGUCAGACAUCCUUUCGAAAGAUUGUUGAGUGCCUAUAGAGACAAAUUGGAGCAUAGUUUGCCCCAUACGUUUCACAGCAAUCUCGGUGCCCACAUAGUUUGGCAUUACAGAUCAAAGGAUUCGAAAAUGACUGGUAAACAUGGACCGAGAUAUCCAUUCUUUGAAGAAUUUGUUAGAUGGCUUUUGUGCCAGUGGAAAGCUGGAAACGAAUUGGACAUGCACUGGACACCGAUAGUCAACUUUUGCACACCCUGCCAAGUGCGAUUCGAUAUAAUCGCAAAAUUCGAAACACUUCGAGAAGAUCAGGACUUCCUUAUAAAGCAAGCACACGUUGGACAUAUCAUUAAACCGGAAUGGAAGAAUCCAACGAGAGGUGUUCAAACGAAAGAUGUUGUCAAAAAUUAUUUCACUCAAUUAUCCAAAACACAAAUCAAUGAUCUUUAUGAAAUGUUUAGGUAUGAUUUUAUACUCUUCGAUUAUUCUCCCGAGGAAUAUAUUUCACUUGGAAAAGACAAGCCGACUGCUUUGAUAUGCAAAAAUUGAAGUGGAAAUAUGCGAACUACAACUACAGACGAUCGUAACUCGAUCGCAACUAUUUGCGAAUGCAGCAUUCCUUUUUUUAUAUCAAAAUAAAUUCUUAUUUGAAGAAAAAACGCAACGAAACAUUAGAUUAUGCUUGAUAAAGUUGAAAACUACUAUAUUAUCUGUAUAUAAUAGUCAUUAGUUUGUCAUUUAUUAUAUAGAAAUAAAAAAAGAGUAUUAAUUUUAACAAAAAUAUAUACUUUAAACGAUACUACAUAAUCCUAAAUAUUUUCCUAAUACAGAGCUUCUUCCUAUUUAAGAAAUAUACUCGAUGCUUGAAUCUACUGCACAAACUUAAAAAAUAAAGGAGAAAUAACAUAUUGUCAAUAGAAAAUACAAGCAAGUAUUACGUCUUCGUAAUAAAAUUACUGAUAAAACUUUUAUAUGCAUAUACGUUUAAAUAGAAAAAAAAAUGCCUUUGUUACUUUUCCUCUAUAACACUGUCAAAUAACUGUUAUAUUUCAUCAUACUAUUGUAUAAUAUAUAUAAUACACUAUAAAAUUGGAAAA
rnacentral:misc_RNA from 1 species